CCUCUCAGCCUCACUCUCUCAGUCUCAGCGACGCCUUUCUUCGACUCACUCUCUCUCUCUCGACCACCAUUUUUGUUGAACGGCCGACCCACCUUGUCGCCGCUUCUACCGCCGACCCACCCUCGCUGGUUCGAUCUCUCCGACCCACUAUUGGUAUGCGAGGAACGUCUGCUAUCAAUUUUGGCUGCGGGGAUUCUGGGAAGGUCAAGGUCUGCACCGUCUGCUCUCACCUGGAAGAUCGCCUUUAUCCGACGUGGAGGACAACACCACUACUGUGCUUCAGUCAAUCACGCAUAGUCUCAUACUCUGAAUAUGGCCACAGAUGAUUCGACGAUGGCAAAAGAAAUUGUUUCAGCUUCUGAAGAAGAACGAAAAAGAAGAAAAGCAGCUUCUGAAGAUUUUAAUCUGCAAUUUGUUGUGUUGGAAUGUGGAUCUUGUUCAGUUGGACUUUGAAUUGUUGGAAUGUGGAAAACUGGAAGUUUGGAACUUAUUCUUGUUCAUUUUGUUUCACUUGAAUUGUUGGAAUGUGGAAA